AGUUAUGUAAAAGACCCAGGAGUGCAGCUCGGAGGACUGAGGAGAUUAAAGUGAAGCUUUGAAGCUUUGAAGGAUGCAAACAACAUUUUUCGUGGAAUUCCAAGGUAUUUUUUUGCCCAAUCAGAAGACUAGUUCACUUGCCGUGUGAAGGCAACAGUGGAAUCUUCCCCCUGCCCAAGGAGCUUCUGCUCAAUAUAAGUUUUCAUAACGGGAGUAAUUUAAGACUUCACAACUUAUGUGACACGGAAGAAACAACUUUUGCCUAAAAUACAUAAGGGCCAAAUAUAACAAAAUAUUUGUCUUUUCCAUAAAAAUCUUUAAUAUGAUCGUCAUAUUGUAGUUUCUUUAAAGAAUGCUUGUAUUCUUCGGACCUACUAGGGUGAAUUAAAUGAAAAAAAUUUAAAACACUUAAUUAAGCCUGUCCUCUGGGUAUAAAUUGACCUUUACAUGUUUACCAGAGACACCAAUUUUUUAAAUAGGUGUUAAUGACUAGCCGCUGAUUUUGGUGAAACUGCCUAAACGUUUCUUAAGAUUGAGUCAUACCUGGAGUUCCCGUGGCGCAGUGGUUAACGAAUCCGACUAGGAACCAUGAGGUUGCGGGUUCGGUCCCUGCCCUUGCUUAGUGGGUUAAUGAUCCGGCGUUGCCAUGAGCUGCGGUGUAGGUUGCAGACGCGGCUCGGAUCCCGCGUUGCUGUGGCUCUGGCCUAGGCCGGUGGCUACAGCUCCGAUUCGACCCCUAGCCUGGGAACCCCCAUAUGCCGCAGGAGCGGCCCAAGAAAUAGCCAAAAAAAAAAAGAUUGAGUCAUACCUCGGCAGUAUGUAAGAAGAUGUGGUGCUGGGAUUUAGGAAGGCGCCUUGGCAAGGGUGGGGGGAGGUUGAACUUUGGUGACGUAUACCUAUCCUACAAGGCUGUUGUGAGAAUUACACACGAUAAUGUGGAUAAAAUGCCUGGAACAGAGUAAGUACUUAAUAAAUGUUAGUUCUUCAUCCUUUCAUGUUACUGAUGAUGGCCAAACACACAGUUCUUCCAGAACUUUUAUAUUAGGUCAUAUAAAUAUACAUUUUUAAGCAUUUGGCGAUCUAUCCUGAUUUUAGCAGUGUUAUUUUAUAUUGAUACUUAAGAAAAGCCCCAAUAACAUAUGUUGAAAGUGUAUAGUUUCUCAUUAAGUUAUAGGUUGAUGAUAAUUCAAAAAAUAAUGCAAAGGGUUUUGAAUUUCCUAGUGAAAUGAGACAAGGUUAAACGGUGUUCGAGAGUAGAAUAAUUACAUCAGAAUUCAACUUGCCCCAGUUUUAUUUGUGAAAUUUAAUUUAUCCCAUAAAGAUACUAAAUUGAUAAAGUAUUCUCGUAUUAGUAGAGUCCACUAAGAACAAAGUGGAGGCAUGGAGUCUGGACAUUAGAAAUGAAGGGUGUGCAGGCUGGUACAGCUUGUAGGAGUCAUGGAACUUGGAAGACAAGUUGAAAAGGACCCUGGAAACAUUUGGCUGUAGGCUGAGAAAUGCCUUUGAGAGAGUUAAAGCCGUAAUAAAUAUACCCAAGAUGUUUAAAGAAGAACCUUGUAAAAAGAAAGCAGCCACACUAGACUCCCAGCUGCUAUUCUUUCUGCCAUCCAGUUUAAGCCUCUGCAUGGUUUACAAGGUCUCCCUGUAGACAGUGGAGCAAAUAAUGUAACAGUGAGAGCUCCAGAGCAACUGUCAGGAUGAUUGUCACAGGUAAAGCAUUAAUAAGUAAGCAUAUACCUCCCCAAAGGAGAAAGAGGCUGGGUAGUGGCAGUGAGAGUUGGGGGGGGGGUUGGUGUUGAUAAUUGAGACCCAGAUGUCAUAUUUUAAAAUGUCCUACUUACCUUUUAAAGUUAUUAACAUGCAUAUAAUGUAGGAAAACUAACAUUUUGGAAAAUUUGGCAUCAGUGAUGAGACUAUAUUAAGACUUUGUAUGCAAGUUAUUGUGCAAAAUUUAAUUGUAACUGCAUGGUCCGUGCUCUCCAAGAGCUUACUGUUCAGAACAAUUGGUGGGUUUGGAGAUUUAGUUAAAUUGCUUACCUGUGAUACUGUUUUCCAUUACUUUUUAUUCAGUAAAUAUAUGUUGGAGACUUGUUAUGUGCCAGGCAUUUUCUUGCCACCAGAGGGAUACAGUGUUGAACAAAACAAAACAAAACCUUCCCUUAAGCUUAAAUUUUAUAGGAGGAAGAGAAAAAAAGACAAAUGACUUUUACUCUCAGCGAGAAGGGAAACAGUGGGUUUUGAGCAGAGGAGCGGCAUGAUUUGAUUUUGUUUUAUCAGUAUGACUCUGGCCUUCAGUUUUGAAAAUAGUGUGAGGUGAGGCAAGGAAGAAUCAGCUGGGAGGCUAUUGCCCUAAAAUCCACACGGUGAUGAUGGAGGCUCAGUUGGCAGAAGUGGUGGUGGAAGUAGGCAGAAUUAUGAUGUUUUUAAGAUAGAGCCAACUGGAUUUGCUGAUGGAUUAGCUAUGGGGUAUGAAGGAAAAAGAACAGUCAGAGAUGACUUGGAGAGUUAAAUCAUCAUUUAUGAAUACGGGGAAUCCUAUAGGAACAUCAGUCUUUUUUUUUUUAAGUUUUAUUGUAGUUGAUUUACAAUGUUGUGAUAAUUUCUGCUGUAUAACAGAGCGAUUUAGCUCUACAUGUACACAUUCAUUCUUUCCCAGAUUCUUUACCCAUACAGAUCAUCACAGAACAUUGGGCAGAGUUCCCUGUGCUACAUAGCAGGUCCCCACUGGAGGAGCAUCAGUCUUAGUGGGGAAGGUCAGGAGGUUGGCAUGGGGUGAUGUUGAGUGUGAAACAUCUAGUAAACAUCCAGGGGGAGAUGUAAAUCUGAAAAUAUGACCCUUGAGUUCAGAGAUGAGGUUUAGUCUCUUGUAGGUGGUUUAUGAAAUGAUGAGACCCAUUGAAAAAAAGUCUGAGGAGUAUCCACUGUGGUUCAGUGGUAACGAACCUGACUAGUAACCAUGAGGACAUGGGUUCGAUUCCUGACCUUACUCAGUGGGUUAAGGAUCCAGAGUUGCUGUAGCUGUGGUGUAGGCCAGCAGCUGCAGCUCUGGUUUGACCUCUAGCCUGGGAACUUCCAUAUGCUGCAGGUGCAGCCCUAAAAAAAAAAAAAA
rnacentral:lncRNA from 1 species